rnacentral:rRNA from 1 species
UACGUAGGGUGCAAGCGUUGUCCGGAAUUAUUGGGCGUAAAGGGCUCGUAGGCGGUCCAUCACGUCGGGGAGUGAAAAGCUGGGGCUUAACCCCAGUCCUGCUUCCGAUACGGGUGGACUAGAGGUAGGCAGGGGAGAACGGAAUUCCUGGUGGUAGCGGUGAAAUGCGCAGAUAUCAGGAGGAACACCGGUGGCGAAGGCGGUUCUCUGGGCCUUACCUGACGCUGGAGGAGCGAAAGCGUGGGGAGCAAACAGG